CAUCGUUCUGAGCUAUAUCUGCUUAGCAGGAGUUUGCCAAGUAACCUUUUUUUCCCUCACGAGUGGCGUAUAAUAAUUCAUCCUUAAUUUACCGUAUCGUAAUUUAUCGUGUUGUGAGGUUUUUACGAAAAAAUAAAAACCCUUUCAUCUGGCGACUAGACUACAGUUAGCGCUUGAGAUUUCCAUCGAUUGUCACUUCGUUGAUCAAGUUUUCAUCAAGGAUGUUUUUGCUACGAAUUUGACUUCGAGUACCUGUUCAAACGGCAAGGCUUCCCGCAUGAUAAAGCAUGUUCUCUUAAGCAGCAGGUAAGAUACGAGCGAAGUAGCUGCUAGUGGUACAGGUGGGCAGUUCGUGACUUGACGUCUGGAAAGCUUGGCCGUCUGUCUUAUUUCGGCAUUGUUUUGAAUUAUCGAUAAUUGCGACGCUGGUGGAGAUAGUCUUCGAAGUAGUGAGGUAUUGCCCUGACCUUGUAAUGGUUCGAGACGCAGCCACAAGAUUUUAGGAGCUGGGAUUGUGGACAUUUUAUGAAGAACUGGUAGUUUUUAUGCCCUUAUAACCGAAGAAGAUAGGGAGAGAAGAGUAGUUACUUUGACAGUUGAUUACCGUUGGUACAUAGGAUUUCUGCACGUGCUGCUGUUUUUUGUAACUGUCCCAUAUGUUUAAAGAGCUCUCAAAUAGAAAGGACCAUUUUUCGUAAUGUGGGAGAUACUGCAGUCUUCAUUGGAAGAUACUUGAAUGGAUCUACCCGAAAUUAAACUUACUUUUCAAGACUUAUAAUUCCUCAGCAAGAAGUGUAAGAGUAUCUGCAUGGUUUUGAGGUUAUCGAGAAUCCAGAACUUGCUAUUGUCACAUGUAUGUAUAACGUUAAAUAUUCAUGUGGUCAAUAAAGAUUAAAAACUAGAGAUUUUACUAAUGUUCAGUUUUUAUCAAUAUGCCUUUGUUGUACUGGGUUGUCCGUGGGACAUUAGAACGGAUAUGUUUUGUAUUGAGAACAUGAUGCUAGGAUAAGACCCGUGACUAUUGGAUUUCUGCUGUUAGCAGAUUAAAUUAGCUAUAUGGAAGUAUGGAAAUUUUGUCUUGGAUAUUUUUUGCUUAGAAUAAUGGGAAUAUCUGUUUACUUU